UUUUUUUUAGUAGGGUUCUGGCUAAGCGCUGUAAUAUAUGAAAAUAGUUAGUACUGCAGAAAUGGCUGGUGCAGCGCCACCUUCAAGAACAAAGCAGAUCAAAAGGAUUCUAUAAAGUCCACUGUACAGACACAAUAGGCAAGAUCUCUCACAAACAUCUGCAUAACAAGGUGUCAGACCAGAGGAGGAACAGAGCAGUCGCACUGAUAAGAAUGAACAGGAGGGGAGUCUGAAACUAACUUCCAUGCAAAGCAAGACCUCUUUGCAGGUACCAGGGACCCCGGGCAGGCUGUUACAGUCCCUCAAGGUGAACUUGAUCUCGAU